rnacentral:tRNA from 1 species
GCAGUGGUGGUUCAGAAGGAGAACAUUUGCCUUGUGUGCUGGAGACCUGGGUUAGAUUUCUGGCCAAUGCA